rnacentral:snRNA from 1 species
GUGCUGGGAUUACAGGCAUGAGCCACUGCGCCCGGCCUAGCAUAUACAUUAAAAUUGGAUGAUACAAAGAAGAUUAGCAUGCCUCCUGUGAAAGGAUGACAUGCUGACAUGGAAAUUCGUGCUCCAUAUUUUUU